CAGCCGCCGCGGUAAUACAGAGGGUGCGAGCGUUAAUCGGAUUUACUGGGCGUAAAGCGUGCGUAGGCGGCUUCUUAAGUCGGAUGUGAAAUCCCUGAGCUUAACUUAGGAAUUGCAUUCGAUACUGGGAAGCUAGAGUAUGGGAGAGGAUGGUAGAAUUCCAGGUGUAGCGGUGAAAUGCGUAGAGAUCUGGAGGAAUACCGAUGGCGAAGGCAGCCAUCUGGCCUAAUACUGACGCUGAGGUACGAAAGCAUGGGGAGCAAACAGGAUUAGAUACCCCCGCAGUCCCUGUCUCUUAUAC
rnacentral:rRNA from 1 species